rnacentral:misc_RNA from 1 species
AAGUCGUAACAAGGUUUCCGUAGGUGAACCUGCGGAAGGAUCAUUAACACAUCCAUUAUCAACUAUCAACCUUGUCGCAUAGCAAAGAACCUACCUGCGGGGAGCGUCAGCAGUUUGGCAAUGGUUGGAUCUGCCUGCACGUCGGGCAGUUGGCCUGUUGACUAAUUCAUCCAUGUUCAUUGAAUGUGAGGUGGUAGCUCUACCCGGUAAGGAAUACAGUCUCUGCCAUGGCUGGCCCCAUUUUUUUAUCUUGACUUCUGGUUUGGAUCACGGGUUUGAUUUUAGAUUGAGAGGCUCUGUUCCUUUCUCUAGUCGGACUCGUAUGGCCUGGAUGUUUAACACCCUUUCUUCUCUGGUUGGAAGGGUUGAUAUCUAAGGAUCAUAAAUAAAACACAACUCUUAACAGCGGAUAUCUCGGUUCUC